GACGAACGCUGGCGGCGUGCUUAACACAUGCAAGUCGAACGAUGAAGCUGGAGCUUGCUCCGGUGGAUUAGUGGCGAACGGGUGAGUAACACGUGAGCAAUCUGCCCUUGACUCUGGGAUAACUGCGGGAAACUGUAGCUAAUACCGGAUACUUUCACUGGAAGGCAUCUUCUGGUGAAGAAAGAAUUUCGGUCAAGGAUGAGCUCGCGGCCUAUCAGCUUGUUGGUGGGGUGAUGGCCUACCAAGGCGACGACGGGUAGCCGGCCUGAGAGGGUGACCGGCCACACUGGGACUGAGAUACGGCCCAGACUCCUACGGGAGGCAGCAGUGGGGAAUAUUGCACAAUGGGCGCAAGCCUGAUGCAGCGACGCCGCGUGAGGGAUGACGGUCUUAGGAUUGUAAACCUCUUUCAGCAGGGACGAAAACAGACGGUACCUGCAGAAGAAGCCCCGGCUAACUACGUGCCAGCCGCCGCCGUAA
rnacentral:rRNA from 1 species